rnacentral:misc_RNA from 1 species
GAACCAUAAUCCUAAGCUUCUUGAGUGUUUGGCUAUGAAUGUUCUUGAAUUCCUUGGCUGCAUCAAAUGGCUAGCUGUGUUUGAUGUUUAGAUACUUAAAAAUACUUGUGGUCACUGAACUUUGUACUCGUUUCAAUUUAGUCUUCAUCAAACUUCAAGUAGUCUCCCACAUAAAAAAAAAAAAAGCCUUCAAUUUAGCAUCAUUUGAACCAAUAUCACCAAAAUCUGGUGAAAAGCUCACUGGAAAACUGAUGUGGCUCUCUCCCUUUCUUUUGGUGUCCUGAUGAACAUCUAGGAACCACACAAAGACCAAUUUUUGACUUAUCCUCUUCAAUUUUAUCUCCUUUUUCUCUCAAAUUUGGCAAAUUAACUUUUAAGUGAAUCUUUCAGUGGAUUCUGUUUGCUUUGAUUCAAUUGAUUGAGACUGAAAUAAGGUUUAUUGAACAAAUUGAUACAAAUUAAAAAUUUGUGUCCAUAACCAAAAAUGGAGACUAAAUGAUGAUUGUGUUUUACCCUGUUAAUACUAGCAUAUAUUUGUGUAGUCAACAUUAAUGAUGCCCUACAUUUUAACCUUGAAAAUCAAGCGAUUUUAUUUUAUCUUUAGCAUGCGUAAUGGACAUUUAUGCCAACUAUAAGGAAGACGCUUGUGUGCCUAAUCAAGUUGCUGGUGAUCCCCUUUUCAAAGAUGGUUUAUAAGCUAUAAUAUUAUUGAGAGUUUUAUAAUCUUUCUUAUGCUUAUUGUCCAGCUGGCUUGUUUUCUAUGUGCUGUGAAGAUGUAAUAGGCCCUUGUGUAGAUUGCUAGGUCAAUCAGGAGAAAAGAAAAACUGAUUAAAUCAAUUUCAUUUGUUGUCUAAAAGUAAUUUUUGUUGUAGAAUAAAAUGAUUGGUAUGCAUUAUAUUUUCUGUUUACCAACAUCUUUCUUCCUUUUGUAGGUGGAGAUUAAGAAGGCAGAGCCAAAGAAGCCCAAUGCUGCACCACCCCCUUCUAAGCGUUAUAAUGAUUCCAGGCCUGCAUUUGGUGGUGGAUUUGGUGAUGCAUAUGAUGGAUAUGGAGGCAGUGGCUUUGGUGGUGGUGGUGGUGGUGGUUAUAGGUCUGGCGGAGUUUAUGGAGAUAGAGCCAGUACUUAUGGUGGAUAUAAUGGGGGUGAAUUUGGUGGAUAUGGUGGAUAUGGGGGUGGUGGCAUUGGAGCUUAUAGAGGGGAGCCCUCCUAUGGAUAUUCCGGUCGUUAUGGAGGAGGCUUUAGCAGGGGUUAUGAUUUACGAGGUGGUUACGGUGGCCUUGGUGAGGGUUAUGGUGGAUAUGGUAGUGGCAGUGGCAGUGGCAGUGGCGGCGGCAACGGUGCUUGCUUUAGCUGUGGAGGGUUCGGGCACUUGGCUAGGGAUUGUCCUGGUGGUGGCGGGGCCUGCUAUAACUGUGGAGGUUAUGGGCACUUGGCUAGAGAUUGUACUAGUGCUAGGGGAGGUGGCAGGUUUGGCAGCAUUGGUGGUGGUAGCAGUGGUGGAUGCUUCAAUUGUGGGAAGGAAGGACAUUUUGCAAGGGAGUGCCCUAACAACUCUUGACUGAGGGAAAUAAAGAGUAACAGUACAUAUUUCUCUUUUUUUCUUUCUUUGUUGGUUGUCUUUUUUGGGAUUUUGCGCCUUUUAUUCCCCUCAAUUUAUACUUAGGAUUGUGUUGAUGCAAGUUCGUAAUCUCUGUUUGGUGGAGGAAAUUUUCCCAGUUUUGACGAAUAUAUAUGGUUGUUCGGAUAAAGAUUAGGCUUUAUUUUCAUAACCGUUUGAUAAUUUUCUAAUGAAGCCCUUCUCAUUUUUAUCAAGUGUGAAUCAAUUUUUUAUUCUGUUAAAUAUCUAGAACUUGUGAUGGUGAUGGCAUUGGUGCAUUGAUAUGUUGUUAUUACCUGAAGUUCAAAUUUGGAUCUUGCAUGAUUUAAUGGUGAUUGGUUCUUCAACUUCAUCUGUAUUUGUGUUAGUCCAAUCACCGACCGGAAGUUGUAAUAUUUAUUUGCAAUUGCUUUUGUUACAAAUAAUAUUAGAACUUGUGGGUUUUGGCGUUGGGAUUGGUUUUUCACAACUGGUGGUUGACUCACAUGGUAGUGAGCUUGAGCCCCACAGAUAGCUGUUAUGGGAGCUCAGAUUCACAAAUUGAAGCAACUUAAUUUGACGACCCAAGUAUAAGCUGCAUGUAUGUGUUCCUCCUCAUUGUAUGUUAAUGACUCCUCUCGAGUUUUUGAAUGGUUUUACCAUAUGGAACUUCAUCUUAAAUGCCCGUUUUACUAAUUGGUUGCUGAUAAUUUAACGUAAUGCUUUGGAGUAGACUGGUUGUACUAGUUUUAUAUAUUAGACUGUCUCCAUUACUUAUAUUGCACAAGCUGGUAGAACUUGUUAUGUUGCAUUGCAUCAGUUGAGAGCUGGGUUUAGCCCAAACUUUAUAUGGAUGUAACACAUUAUGUGCUAGGUUAACAUUUUUCCACUCUUAGAACAUGGAUGGACCGGAGGAUUAUCAUGCAUGUCAUACACUCCCAGAAUCAUUAGGGGAUGUAUCUUUCCUUUUUUAUGGAAUGCAAUUCGACAUACAUUUUUGUUCCUUUUAUUUUGGGUAGUUUUAGCGAUGAGCUUGGAUUUUACUUUUAUCUUCUGAUGUAUUAAUUUCUGUAUUAAUUUGGCCUUUGAAUAUUAAUUUUGAUUGGAAUUUUCUACAUGUCCAAUUAUUUCCGUCAUUCAUUUGUAUUGCUUUGUCAACUUAAUGAAGCACUAGUUUGCAAGCUAGCAUAUAUUUAGUGAAAAUUGCUUGAUAGUAAUGGCGACAGAAUAGCUAAGAUUAUGUAUACAUUUGUAAUACACACUUAGUAUUUCUGCAUGCGAAGAACUGGUAGAUUGGUCUAUCUUUGCAUGUUUCAACAUGGAAUAUGAUUGGAAUGUAGAAAUUUGGAAAUUUUUAGACAGGGAAGCGGACAAGAUUUCAUUGUCACGGCCUUAUGCGUCAAAUGACUGAGAGUAUAGACUUGUACUUAUAAUGGGGAUGAUCGCUGGCAUGAAUGUC